rnacentral:lncRNA from 1 species
GAGGCUGAGUGAACGGAGGCUGCCCACGCCAUGGACGGGUCUCAAACACGUGGCGCUGAGCGAGAGAAGGCGAAGGAUGAUUUCUAUCCAUACAUGCUCCACGUGCAGCUCUUCCGUUUGCUCAUCAGUAUUCGGAACCUACCAAAGGCUGCUGCCACCUGGAGUCAUUACAUCACCAUCGGAACAGACCCUCGUGUCGUGUGAGCAAUGGUUGGCUUUUUCAAAGCACUUUCACCUGCAUUAUCUCAUCUCCCAUCCCACGGAGCAGACGAGCACAAACCCCCGUGGAGACUAGGCCUGUUUUACAGAUAAGGUAAGAGUGAGUAAAAUGACAACUGCAAAAAAAGAAAAAAAAAAUACCUCAAGGUCAAGGGAGCGUCUUUUCCCUGGAGUUUCAUAGUUGUGUCUACAAAGACCAAGCAUUUUUAAAGAUCUCUAAGCUUUAGGCUAACCUCAGUGGCUUCCCAAGUCUCUUAGGAGAGACCAUUUUGGCUCUUGGGUUCAUUUGCAACUUGCCUUCUUCCCAGGGACCCCAGAAACCUCCAGGCUGUGAGGCAGUGGGAUUAGACUGGCUUUGAAACAGACAAACUGAGGCUUGGAUCUGGCUCACCCAGCUGUGAGAUGUCAAGUGAGUUAUUGACCUCUCUGAGCCUCCGUUUCUCCAUCAGGAAAAUACAGGUGUCAGAGUAAAAGCUCUUUAGGGUCCCUGCUAGGCUUAACAGUCUGUGAUUUUGUGAUUCUAUGAAUUACCCUGAAUUUGCAUAAGUAUAGCAUUGUAUAGGUUUCGAAGCACUUUCACAUAGCUUUCAGCAGUUUAUUUGAUCUUGGCCACAGCUCUGUGGGGUGGGCAGGCAGGCGUGCCAUAUUUUCAUAUCCCCAUUUGAGAGAUGGGGAAAUUGAGGUGCAGAGAGAUGAAGUGGCCAGCCAUAGGCACUCUGGCAUGCUGGUGCUGGCCAGGACCUGAGCAGACACGUGCAGAUUUCUAUAGACUGUCUGAUGGGCGUCCCCUUCA